CUGUGACUUUAUAUCUGAGUUGUACUAAUGGGGGUUUACUUCCUUUUUAAGAGAGCUACACAGCAGUUCUAAUGACACUGGUUUCGGUACUUAGAAAGAUGAAGGAAGAAGAUGGAAGCUAUGCAAGCCUUAGCAUUUUAUCCUCAAGACAGUAAAUGCUAUCAUCAGUGUCUGCUUUUGAAGAGGAAGUUGUUGGACUUUUGCCCAGUUUGGCUACAAGUAAGGAUGCUACCUUAUGGCUGCUUAGCAACAGGAGACCGCUCUGGCCUCAUUGAAGUUGUGAGCACCUCUGAAACAAUUGCUGACAUUCAGCUGAACAGUAGCAAUGUUGCUGCAGCAGCAGCAUUCAACAAAGAUGCCCUUCUGAACUGGCUUAAAGAAUACAAUUCUGGGGAUGACCUGGACCGAGCCAUUGAGGAGUUUACCCUAUCCUGUGCCGGCUACUGUGUAGCUUCUUAUGUCCUUGGGAUUGGUGACAGACAUAGUGAUAACAUCAUGGUCAAAAAAACUGGCCAGCUCUUCCACAUUGACUUUGGACAUAUUCUUGGAAAUUUCAAGUCUAAAUUUGGCAUUAAAAGGGAGCGAGUGCCUUUUAUUCUUACUUAUGAUUUCAUUCAUGUGAUUCAACAAGGAAAAACAGGAAACACAGAAAAAUUUGGCCGGUGAGUGUUGUCCUUGUGUCAAAGUAAACACAUCUACUGUUUUCUUGUAUGACCAGUUAGGCUAGCAUUUCUUAGCUGAGAGAUAUUUAAUUGGGGAGACAGUCUGCUAACAGGAGGUUUUCGGGAAUUUGCCUGUGAGAUCCAUGUUCUGAUUUAGAGAAGAAUGAAAAAUAAUGCUAGGAAUUUGAGAUAAAUUACUGUUUUAUUCCAAUAGAAUACUGCCUUUUACCUGCAUUGGAAAAUUCUCUGAAACUGUUAAGACAGUUGAUAGACAUUUGAAAUGCUGAAAGGAACUGGCAUUUUGCUGUCAUUCAAUGUGAAGUAUGAUAAGAGAGUCAGAGUUCACAGAAAGACUUUGUAAUCUCGGAUCUAUUCUUGGCUGUUUGAUGUUUCCAAACACAUUACUUAUCAUCCCACCUUUGUUUCUUCAUUUUCAAUGGUGACAAAAAUAAUUAAGCUUCAGGGAUAUUUGGAUAAUGAGAGAUAUGUUAUAUGAUGUGACCAACUCAUACAAUAAGCUUAACAAAUGAUUUAUAGUAUUAUUUCCAGAUCUGCCUGGGCUUCUGCACAAUAUAUCUCUGGAUCCAUUUUUCUCUUUGGUAACAUUAGGGAGAUAGGAUUGGGUGGUCCUCUUGAAUGACCAUCUUGAAGAGGAGAGAGAAGGAAGGGAAGAUACAUUAUUUGGGGGACAUUAAAGAAACUAAGUCUCUGGAGUCAGACCACAAAUAUAGAAUCAAGAAAUAUGGUUAGAAAUCAUUACGGAGUGUAAUUACCACUUUUUCUACAAUUAAGUUUUUAUGUCUUAUAGAAUAAAAAUGUGUAGAUUAAGUGUGACAUUGCCUUUUAUAUAUUUCUGUUUAGUUUUGUUUCUGGAAAAGAUAUAUGUGGUGUUAGAGAGCUUGAUUUAUUUUAUGUAAAUAAACUUAUUUCAGUCCUGGGACAAUUUUCAAAGAAGUAAAAAUUCCAGCUUGUAUGGAAAGUCUAGCUAUAUCUCUCAUUUUCAUUCAUGAAAUAUGCUGUUUCUGUUCUGAUAUCAUACUCCUGUGAUUUGCUUGCAUCAACUGAAGGUUCCACCAGUGUUGUGAGGAUACAUAUCUGAUUUUACGCUGGCAUGGGAAUCUCUUCAUCACGCUCUUUGCACUGAUGUUGACUGCAGGGCUUCCUGAGCUCACCUCAGUCAAGGAUAUACAGUAUCUUAAGGACUCUCUUGCCUUAGGGAAGAGUGAAGAAGAAGCACUCAAGCAAUUCAAGCAAAAAUUUGAUGAGGCACUCAGGGAAAGUUGGACUACUAAAGUCAAUUAGAUGGCCCACGCAGUUUGGAAAGACUACAGAUCUUAAUGAUCAGUCUUUGCUCCUAAUGUGUUUGUUGGUUUCAUUUAGUUUUCAUUUUGCACUUGCACUAAAUUGAACAUGACCCUGCCAGAGAUGUUAUAAAGGGAAUGAAAUCCUGGACCCGAGAGUUAAAUUAAGAAUGGGGUAUCCCACAGAAACCUAAUCUGAAUAAUCCCUGACAACACCCUCUGCUUUUUGAAUGCUUCCAAGAUUCAUCAUGAAAACUCAACAUUAUGGGUAAUCAUUUCCUGCUGACUUUACACUCCAAGGAAUGCUACUAGAGAUUGUUUUUUGUUUUUUGUCCUUUUUUUCUUUUUUUAAGUAUUUGGUACUUUUCUGGAAAGAUGUAAAUACUUCUUUUUCAUAUUGUGACCAAGUGUUAUCACUCAGCCAACUUAUCCGUACCUGGGGACUAGUAGCUGUUCUUACUUUCCAAAUGAGGCUUAAAAGAAAGCUUUCUUUCCUCCCUUUUUAAAUUAUAUAAACUAGAAAUUAUAAUAUAAUUUGAAAUUAUGAUUAUUUUUCAAGAGAAAUCUUUUAAACCUGUGGAAACAUUAAUUCUUUUGUUGAUAUUUAUCUACCGUGAUAGCAUCAUCUCAGCCAGAAUUGUUGAAAAUCUGCUUGGUGAGGCAAAUAUAAUUUAUGCUGCAUAUAUAUUUAUAAAAUUUCUAAUGGGGGUUCUAUAUAAAAAGAUAUUAUUUUGAUUUUCUUCAGCCUUCCUUU